AUUGAACGCUGGCGGCAGGCUUAACACAUGCAAGUCGAGCGAGCGGCGGACGGGUGAGUCAUGUCUGGGAAACUGCCUGAUGGAGGGGGAUAACUACUGGAAACGGUAGCUAAUACCGCAUACCAUCAGAUGUGCCCAGAUGGGAGUAGCGAGUAGGUGGGGUAAUAGCUCACCUAGGCGCCGAUCUCUAGCGGGUCUGAGAGGAUGACCAGCCACACUGGAACUGAGACACGGGCCAGACUCCUACGAGAGGCAGCAGUGGGGAAUAUUGCACAAUGGGAGCAAGCCUGAUGCAGCCAAGCCGGGUGUGUGAAGAAGGCCUUCGGGUUGUAAAGCGCUGUCAGCGAAGAGGCGUUACUCGCAGAAGAAGCACCGGCUAACUCCGUGCCAGCCGCCGCGGUAAUUC
rnacentral:rRNA from 1 species